rnacentral:tRNA from 1 species
AAAUAGGUAAGCUAAUUUAAGCUAAUGGGUUCAUACCCCAUGCAUGCAGGCUAAUGCCUGCCCUUUUUA